rnacentral:rRNA from 1 species
GACGAACGCUGGCGGCGUGCUUAACACAUGCAAGUCGAACGGAAAGGCCCUGCUUUUUUGGGGUGCUCGAGUGGCAAACGGGUAAGUAACACGUGAGUAACCUGCCCUUGACUUUGGGAUAACUUCAGGAAACUGGGGCUAAUACCGGAUAGGAGCUCCUGCUGCAUGGUGGGGGUGGGAAAUUUUCGGCGGUUGGGGAUGGACUCGCGGCUUAUCAGCUUGUUGGUGGGGUAGUGGCUUACCAAGGCUUUGACGGGUAGCCGGCCUGAGAGGGUGACCGGCCACAUUGGGACUGAGAUACGGCCCAGACUCCUACGGGAGGCAGCAGUGGGGAAUAUUGCACAAUGGGCGGAAGCCUGAUGCAGCAACGCCGCGUGCGGGAUGACGGCCUUCGGGUUGUAAACCGCUUUCGCCUGUGACGAAGCGUGAGUGACGGUAAUGGGUAAAGAAGCACCGGCUAACUACGUG